CCCUUAGAUGUUCUGGGCGGCCCGCGCACUACAAUGGCGCUUUCAGCGAGUUCCUAUGUUGAAUUUUCCUGGGUAUUCUUGGAAGCGGCGUCUUGACUUGGGAUAGAUCCUUGUAAUUGUUGGUUUUGAACGAGGAAUUCCUUGUAAUCGCGGUUGAUCAGCUCGCGUUGAAUACGUCCCUGCCCUUUGUACACACCGCCCGUCGCUCCUACCGAUGAAUCGUCCGGUGAAGUUCACAGAGUGGCGGUUCGUGGAGUUGCCCGCGAAGUGAAAUGGACCUCACGAUUUAGAGGAAGGAGAAGUCGUAACA
rnacentral:rRNA from 1 species